AGAAUCAACGCUGGCGGCGUGCCUAACACAUGCAAGUCGCACGAGAAAGGGUAGCAAUACCUGAGUACAGUGGCGCACGGGUGAGUAACACGUGAAUAAUCUACCUCCGAGUGGGGAAUAACUGAGAGAAAUCUUAGCUAAUACCGCAUAAUACCCACGGGUCAAAGCAGCAAUGCGCUUGGAGAGGAGUUCGCGGCAGAUUAGUUAGUUGGCGGGGUAAUGGCCCACCAAGACGAUGAUCUGUAUCCGGCCUGAGAGGGCGCACGGACACACUGGAACUGAAACACGGUCCAGACUCCUACGGGAGGCAGCAGUGGGGAAUUUUGCGCAAUGGGGGAAACCCUGACGCAGCAACGCCGCGUGGAGGAUGAAGCCCUUGGGGUGUAAACUCCUUUCGAUCGGGAAGAUAAUGACGGUACCGAUAUAAGAAGCCCGGCUAACUUCGUGCCAGCACGCCGC
rnacentral:rRNA from 1 species